CCUGGUUGAUCCUGCCAGUAGUAUAUGCUUGUCUCAAAGAUUAAGCCAUGCAUGUCUCAGUGCAAGCCACAUUAAGGUGAAACCGCGAAUGGCUCAUUACCUCAGUUAUGGUUCCUUAGAUCGUACCCACAUUACUUGGAUAACUGUGGUAAUUCUAGAGCUAAUACAUGCAAAUAGAGUUCCGACCAGAGAUGGAAGGAAUGCUUUUAUUAGAUCAAAACCAAUCGGUGGCGGGCUUGCCUUGCUCACCGUUUGACUUGGUGACUCUGAAUAACUUUGUGCCGAUCGCACGGUCUAGUACCGGCGACGCAUCUUUCAAAUGUCUGCCUUAUCAACUGUCGAUGGUAGUUUCUGCGACUACCAUGGUUGUUACGGGUAACGGGGAAUCAGGGUUCGAUUCCGGAGAGAAAGCCUGAGAAACGGCUACCACAUCCAAGGAAGGCAGCAGGCGCGCAAAUUACCCACUCCCGGCACGGGGAGGUAGUGACGAAAAAUACCGAUACGGGGCUCAUCCGAGGCCCCGUAAUCGGAAUGAGUACACUUUAAAUCCUUUAACGAGAAUCUAUUAGAGGGCCAGUCUGGUGCUAGCAGCCGCGGUAAUUCCAGCUCUAAUAGCGUAUAUUAAAGUUGUUGCGGUUAAAAAGCUCGUAGUUGAAUCUGUGUCCCACAAUGUCGGUUCACCGCUCGCGGUGUUCAACAGGCAUGUCUGUGGGACGUCCUACCGGUGGGCUUAGCCCGUAAAAAGGCGGCCCAACUUAAAAUCCUACCAAGGUGCUCUUCACCGAGUGUCGAGGUGGGCCGGUACGUUUACUUUGAACAAAUUAGAGUGCUUAAAGCAGGCUCAUUCGCAUGAAUAUUGUGUGCAUGAAAUAAUGGAAUAGGACCUUGGUUCUAUUUUGUUGGUUUUCGGAAUUCCGAGGUAAUGAUUAAUAGGGACAACUGGGGGCAUUCGUAUUGCGACGUUAGAGGUGAAAUUCUUGGAUCGUCGCAAGACGGACAGAAGCGAAAGCAUUUGCCAAAUGUGUUUUCAUCAAUCAAGAACGAAAGUUAGAGGUUCGAAGGCGAUCAGAUACCGCCCUAGUUCUAACCAUAAACGAUGCCAGCUAGCGAUCCGCCGAAGUUCCUCCGAUGACUCGGCGGGCAGCUUCCGGGAAACCAAAGCUUUUGGGUUCCGGGGGAAGUAUGGUUGCAAAGCUGAAACUUAAAGAAAUUGACGGAAGGGCACUACAAGGAGUGGAGCCUGCGGCUUAAUUUGACUCAACACGGGAAACCUCACCAGGUCCAGACACCGGAAGGAUUGACAGAUUGAGAUUUGAUUCGGUGGGUGGUGGUGCAUGGCCGUUCUUAGUUAGUGGAGUGAUUUGUCUGGUUAAUUAUGAUAACGAACGAGACUCGAUCCUGCUAAAUAGACGUACUUUCUGGUAUCGCAAAGACCCUCCGCUUCGGCUUCGGUCGUUGUUGGUUGUGGUUCUCACUACCGGCGUACAAAUAUAUCUUCUUAGAGGGACAGGCGGCAUUUAGUCGCACGAAGUUGAGCAAUAACAGGUCUGUGAUGCCCUUAGAUUUCUGGGCCGCACGCGCGCUACACUGAAGAGAUCAGCAGGUUUUCCUUGGCCGAAAGGUCCGGGUAAUCCGUUGAAGCCUCUUCGUGCUAGGGAUUGGGGCUUGCAAUUCUUCCCCAUGAACGAGGAAUUCCUAGUAAGCGCGAGUCAUAAGCUUGCGUUGAUUAUGUCCCUGCCCUUUGUACACACCGCCCGUCGCUACUACCGAUUGAAUUAUUUAGUGAGGUCUUCGGACCGGUGCGCGGCAGCGUUUCGACAUUGCCAAUGUUGCUGGGAAGAUAACCAAACUUGACUAUUUAGAGGAAGUAAAAGUCGUAACAAGGUUUCCGUAGGUGAACCUGCGGAAG
rnacentral:rRNA from 1 species